rnacentral:rRNA from 1 species
UGACGAGUUUGAUCCUGGCUCAGAUUGAACGCUGGCGGCAGGCCUAACACAUGCAAGUCGAGCGGAUGAGAAGAGCUUGCUCUUCGAUUCAGCGGCGGACGGGCGAGUAAUACCUAGGAAUCUGCCUGGUAGUGGGGGACAACGUUUCGAAAGGAACGCUAAUACCGCAUACGUCCUACGGGAGAAAGCAGGGGACCUUCGGGCCUUGCGCUAUCAGAUGAGCCUAGGUCGGAUUAGCUAGUUGGUGAGGUAAUGGCUCACCAAGGCGACGAUCCGUAACUGGUCUGAGAGGAUGAUCAGUCACACUGGAACUGAGACACGGUCCAGACUCCGUACGGGAGCAGCAGUGGGGAAUUUGGACAAGUGGACGCAAGUCUGAUCCAGCCAUUCCGCGUG